CACUUCACACUACAAUACACACAAGCAUACAACUCGUCUAGAUCCAGGCAUGAUCUUGGUCGUGGAUCAUUGGUUAUUGUGGCCUUUGCUGUAGAAAUUGUGCGUCUAGUGUUCUAGCGAUCUUCCGAAUCUUCACCUUGACGAAACCUUCGCGCAGAUCACUCACUGGAAUCACCACAAAACUUCACCGACCGCCGCACAUCAAACUUCGUCAGGUACAAUCACGCCGAACUUUGCUGAGGAAGUGACUUGGUCGUCGUCGUCGUAAGCAGAGUCGUUGUUACGGCAGUGAUCGCGCGAAGAAAUGAACGAGCUAUUGCGCUAGCAAAAACUCAACCGAGCGAGCCAAAUGGAAUCACAACAGAAGAAAGAAAAGAGAGAGGGAGGAGAAAAAAGUGCAACGAAAACGGAUGGAAUGGAGCAAUCGAUGGCAAAACAAGCAAACCGAUAAGACGAUCGAGCUUAAGUUUGCACGACUUACGCGAUCCAAACAAUCCAAAACAAAUCGAUGGCACGCCACCAACACAUCGAACGCAACAUUCAAGUAAUGGUAGGUGCGAGGAUCACGCAAGAAAGUGUUAGUGAGAAAAUAAAAAAAAAACAAUAAAGAGACAGAGUCUGACUUUGAGCGAGCCAAAGGCAUGAAUCAACGCGAGGUUGUUACGACGGCUGAAUGGUGAUUAUUGUAUUGAUAGGAGUUUGAGGUUGGACAAAUACAGCUGAACCGUCUCGCCCCUA